ACCUGCCUGGUACGGGGAUACUAUUGGAAACGAUAGCUAAUACCGCAUAAGAGUAGAUGUUGCAUGACAUUUGCUUAAAAGGUGCAAUUGCAUCACUACCAGAUGGACCUGCGUUGUAUUAGCUAGUUGGUGGGGUAACGGCUCACCAAGGCGACGAUACAUAGCCGACCUGAGAGGGUGAUCGGCCACACUGGGACUGAGACACGGCCCAGACUCCUACGGGAGGCAGCAGUAGGGAAUCUUCGGCAAUGGACGGAAGUCUGACCGAGCAACGCCGCGUGAGUGAAGAAGGUUUUCGGAUCGUAAAGCUCUGUUGUAAGAGAAGAACGAGUGUGAGAGUGGAAAGUUCACACUGUGACGGUAUCUUACCAGAAAGGGACGGCUA
rnacentral:rRNA from 1 species